GUGGGUAGUUUGACUGGGGCGGUCUCCUCCUAAAGAGUAACGGAGGAGCACGAAGGUUGGCUAAUCCUGGUCGGACAUCAGGAGGUUAGUGCAAUGGCAUAAGCCAGCUUGACUGCGAGCGUGACGGCGCGAGCAGGUGCGAAAGCAGGUCAUAGUGAUCCGGUGGUUCUGAAUGGAAGGGCCAUCGCUCAACGGAUAAAAGGUACUCCGGGGAUAACAGGCUGAUACCGCCCAAGAGUUCAUAUCGACGGCGGUGUUUGGCACCUCGAUGUCGGCUCAUCACAUCCUGGGGCUGAAGUAGGUCCCAAGGGUAUGGCUGUUCGCCAUUUAAAGUGGUACGCGAGCUGGGUUUAGAACGUCGUGAGACAGUUCGGUCCCUAUCUGCCGUGGGCGCUGGAGAACUGAGGGGGGCUGCUCCUAGUACGAGAGGACCGGAGUGGACGCAUCACUGGUGUUCGGGUUGUCAUGCCAAUGGCACUGCCCGGUAGCUAAAUGCGGAAGAGAUAAGUGCUGAAAGCAUCUAAGCACGAAACUUGCCCCGAGAUGAGUUCUCCCUGAGACUUAGAGUCUCCUGAAGGAACGUUGAAGACGACGACGUUGAUAGGCCGGGUGUGUA
rnacentral:rRNA from 1 species